rnacentral:rRNA from 1 species
UACGGGGGGGGCAAGCGUUGUUCGGAAUUACUGGGCUUAAAGCGCACGUAGGCGGUGUCGUAAGUGUCAGGUGAAAUCCCACGGCUCACCCGUGGAACUGCCUGGCAGACUGCGAUACUCGAGUGUGGUAGGGGAGAGCGGAACUCCUGGUGGAGCGGUGAAAUGCGUAGAUAUCAGGAGGAACACCGGUGGCGAAGGCGGCUCUCUGGUCCACAACUGACGCUGAGGUGCGAAAGCUAGGGGAGCAAACGGG